CUUGUUGUGGCCGAGCGGUCAAGGUGAUGGACUAAAAAUCCAUUGGGAUCUCCCCGCACAGGUUUGAAUCCUGUCAACAAUG